AUUGAACGCUGGCGGCGUGCUUAACACAUGCAAGUCGUGCGGUAACAGGCGUAGCAAUACGUGCUGACGAGCGGCGAACGGGUGCGUAAUACAUGGGAAUCUGCCCUUUAGUGGGGAAUAACCCGGCGAAAGCCGGGCUAAUGCCGCAUAAGAUCUCCGGAUGAAAGCGGGGGACCGUAAGGCCUCGCGCUGAUGGAUGAGCCCAUGUCGGAUUAGCUAGUUGGUGAGGUAACGGCUCACCAAGGCGACGAUCCGUAGCUGGUCUGAGAGGACGGCCAGCCACACUGGGACUGAGACACGGCCCAGACUCCUACGGGAGGCAGCAGUGGGGAAUAUUGGACAAUGGGGGAAACCCUGAUCCAGCGACGCCGCGUGUGUGAAGAAGGCCUGCGGGUUGUAAAGCACUUU
rnacentral:rRNA from 1 species